UACGUAGGUGGCAAGCGUUGUCCGGAUUUAUUGGGCGUAAAGCGCGCGCAGGCGGUCCUUUAAGUCUGAUGUGAAAUCUUGCGGCUCAACCGCAAGCGGUCAUUGGAAACUGGGGGACUUGAGUACAGAAGAGGAAAGCGGAAUUCCACGUGUAGCGGUGAAAUGCGUAGAGAUGUGGAGGAACACCAGUGGCGAAGGCGGCUCUCUGGGACGGUACUGACGCUGAGACGCGAAAGCGUGGGGAGCGAACAGG
rnacentral:rRNA from 1 species